CGUCUCCUGAAUGCGCGGCAGCAGCGGUGGCUGAAGACAGCAGCGUCAGCCGCUCACGCAGUCCGCCGAACAAGAAUCGUUAUUUUUAGCGCCUGGUUCGUGUUGCAGUGUUUUUUUUCUCCAUCUCAGCGCCACGUUGAGCAGCGAGAGCGCUACGCUACUGACCGAGCGUGGAGUUGCAGGUCAGUAGAAAGCGAGGAAGAAGAUAACGGACCGAGAGCGUGGAGGGGAACACUUCCACUACCACACGGACAGCCGAGCAGCUUUAACCGUAUCACUGCCGCCACAGUUUGGUUAAACGGCCUGCCCGGAGAUGGCUAGCCCGCGGGAACAGGAGCAGCUGGAGCCGAACCAUCCCGAACCAGCCUGUCAGGAGGCUCAAAAAUGGAUCGAGAUUGAGAGAAAAUGGCGGAUCAUUCACAGUAGAAUGGUUUGACGAGGAAGAAGAGGAGGAGGAGGAAGGUGUACAGGGAGACCAGGAUGACUCCUUAAACCUGUACACAUCAGACUACCACUCGGCUACUUCCUCAGACUGUGGCUCUACUGCAUACAGCGACACAGAGCAGCUCCCCACCAGCCUCCAGUACUUCUUCCACUCAACACCAGUUUGGCCCCAGUACAGUUUGGCGCCACCUCAGACUCAGCAGGUCUUUGGCUACUACAGCACAUCUUGACACAGCCGUCUCCAGAGUUGAUCCUGCCUCAGGCCUUCCUGCAGCCAUCAGGACCUGAAGAGUUAGGCUGCCUCCCACUGAGCCAUGUGACAUUAAUCUUUGUAAAAUGUGAUUAAGGGUUUUUAAUCUACUGUAGCUAGAGUACCUAUAUCUCUAUAUUAAGAUUUUUUUACUGAACUGCUUGUAAAUAGUUUGACACACACUUUCAAACCUUACUAUUUCAGUUGUGAUUUAUUUUGCCA
ensembl:lncRNA